ACUUAAAUUGAAGAGUUUGAUCAUGGCUCAGAUUGAACGCUGGCGGCAGGCCUAACACAUGCAAGUCGAGCGGUAGCACAGAGAGCUUGCUCUCGGGUGACGAGCGGCGGACGGGUGAGUAAUGUCUGGGAAACUGCCUGAUGGAGGGGGAUAACUACUGGAAACGGUAGCUAAUACCGCAUAACGUCGCAAGACCAAAGUGGGGGACCUUCGGGCCUCAUGCCAUCAGAUGUGCCCAGAUGGGAUUAGCUAGUAGGUGGGGUAACGGCUCACCUAGGCGACGAUCCCUAGCUGGUCUGAGAGGAUGACCAGCCACACUGGAACUGAGACACGGUCCAGACUCCUACGGGAGGCAGCAGUGGGGAAUAUUGCACAAUGGGCGCAAGCCUGAUGCAGCCAUGCCGCGUGUGUGAAGAAGGCCUUCGGGUUGUAAAGCACUUUCAGCGGGGAGGAAGGCGGUGAGGUUAAUAACCUCACCGAUUGACGUUACCCGCAGAAGAAGCACCGGCUAACUCCGUGCCAGCAGCCGCGGUAAUACGGAGGGUGCAAGCGUUAAUCGGAAUUACUGGGCGUAAAGCGCACGCAGGCGGUCUGUCAAGUCGGAUGUGAAAUCCCCGGGCUCAACCUGGGAACUGCAUUCGAAACUGGCAGGCUAGAGUCUUGUAGAGGGGGUAGAAUUCCAGGUGUAGCGGUGAAAUGCGUAGAGAUCUGGAGGAAUACCGGUGGCGAAGGCGGCCCCCUGGACAAAGACUGACGCUCAGGUGCGAAAGCGUGGGGAGCAAACAGGAUUAGAUACCCUGGUAGUCCACGCCGUAAACGAUGUCGAUUUGGAGGUUGUGCCCUUGAGGCGUGGCUUCCGGAGCUAACGCGUUAAAUCGACCGCCUGGGGAGUACGGCCGCAAGGUUAAAACUCAAAUGAAUUGACGGGGGCCCGCACAAGCGGUGGAGCAUGUGGUUUAAUUCGAUGCAACGCGAAGAACCUUACCUGGUCUUGACAUCCACAGAACUUUCCAGAGAUGGAUUGGUGCCUUCGGGAACUGUGAGACAGGUGCUGCAUGGCUGUCGUCAGCUCGUGUUGUGAAAUGUUGGGUUAAGUCCCGCAACGAGCGCAACCCUUAUCCUUUGUUGCCAGCGGUUCGGCCGGGAACUCAAAGGAGACUGCCAGUGAUAAACUGGAGGAAGGUGGGGAUGACGUCAAGUCAUCAUGGCCCUUACGACCAGGGCUACACACGUGCUACAAUGGCAUAUACAAAGAGAAGCGACCUCGCGAGAGCAAGCGGACCUCAUAAAGUAUGUCGUAGUCCGGAUUGGAGUCUGCAACUCGACUCCAUGAAGUCGGAAUCGCUAGUAAUCGUAGAUCAGAAUGCUACGGUGAAUACGUUCCCGGGCCUUGUACACACCGCCCGUCACACCAUGGGAGUGGGUUGCAAAAGAAGUAGGUAGCUUAACCUUCGGGAGGGCGCUUACCACUUUGUGAUUCAUGACUGGGGUGAAGUCGUAACAAGGUAACCGUAGGGGAACCUGCGGUUGGAUCACCUCCUUACCUUAAAGAA
rnacentral:rRNA from 1 species